rnacentral:rRNA from 1 species
AACCGAGUCUUAAUUGGGCGUUAAGUUGCAGGGUAUAGACCCGAAACCCGGUGAUCUAGCCAUGGGCAGGUUGAAGGUUGGGUAACACUAACUGGAGGACCGAACCGACUAAUGUUGAAAAAUUAGCGGAUGACCUGUGGCUGGGGGUGAAAGGCCAAUCAAACCGGGAGAUAGCUGGUUCUCCCCGAAAGCUAUUUAGGUAGCGCCUCGUGAAUUCAUCUCCGGGGGUAGAGCACUGUUUCGGCUAGGGGGCCAUCCCGGCUUACCAACCCGAUGCAAACUGCGAAUACCGGAGAAUGUUAUCACGGGAGACACACGGCGGGUGCUAACGUCCGUCGUGAAGAGGGAAACAACCCAGACCGCCAGCUAAGGUCCCAAAGUCAUGGUUAAGUGGGAAACGAUGUGGGAAGGCCCAGACAGCCAGGAUGUUGGCUUAGAAGCAGCCAUCAUUUAAAGAAAGCGUAAUAGCUCACUGGUCGAGUCGGCCUGCGCGGAAGAUGUAACGGGGCUAAACCAUGCACCGAAGCUGCGGCAGCGAACGUAUCACCCAAGACAACUUUACGGAGUUGACGAUUGACGGAGCGAAGCGACGUCAAAGCGUUCAUUAAAGUCGAGUUGGCUUAGGGAUACGUUCGUUGGGUAGGGGAGCGUUCUGUAAGCCUGUGAAGGUGUGUCGUGAGGCAUGCUGGAGGUAUCAGAAGUGCGAAUGCUGACAUAAGUAACGAUAAAGCGGGUGAAAAGCCCGCUCGCCGGAAGACCAAGGGUUCCUGUCCAACGUUAAUCGGGGCAGGGUGAGUCGACCCCUAAGGCGAGGCCGAAAGGCGUAGUCGAUGGGAAACGGGUUAAUAUUCCCGUACUUGGUGUUACUGCGAAGGGGGGACGGAGAAGGCUAUGUUGGCCGGGCGACGGUUGUCCCGGUUUAAGCGUGUAGGUGUGUGUUCCAGGUAAAUCCGGUUCACUUUAACACUGAGGCGUGACGACGAGGCACUACGGUGCUGAAGCAACAAAUGCCCUGCUUCCAGGAAAAGCCUCUAAGCAUCAGGUAACACGAAAUCGUACCCCAAACCGACACAGGUGGUCAGGUAGAGAAUACCAAGGCGCUUGAGAGAACUCGGGUGAAGGAACUAGGCAAAAUGGUGCCGUAACUUCGGGAGAAGGCACGCUGACACGUAGGUGAAGUGAUUUACUCAUGGAGCUGAAGUCAGUCGAAGAUACCAGCUGGCUGCAACUGUUUAUUAAAAACACAGCACUGUGCAAACACGAAAGUGGACGUAUACGGUGUGACGCCUGCCCGGUGCCGGAAGGUUAAUUGAUGGGGUCAGCGUAAGCGAAGCUCCUGAUCGAAGCCCCGGUAAACGGCGGCCGUAACUAUAACGGUCCUAAGGUAGCGAAAUUCCUUGUCGGGUAAGUUCCGACCUGCACGAAUGGCGUAAUGAUGGCCAGGCUGUCUCCACCCGAGACUCAGUGAAAUUGAACUCGCUGUGAAGAUGCAGUGUACCCGCGGCAAGACGGAAAGACCCCGUGAACCUUUACUAUAGCUUGACACUGAACAUUGAGCCUUGAUGUGUAGGAUAGGUGGGAGGCUUUGAAGUGUGGACGCCAGUCUGCAUGGAGCCGACCUUGAAAUACCACCCUUUAAUGUUUGAUGUUCUAACGUGGACCCGUAAUCCGGGUUGCGGACAGUGUCUGGUGGGUAGUUUGACUGGGGCGGUCUCCUCCUAAAGAGUAACGGAGGAGCACGAAGGUUGGCUAAUCCUGGUCGGACAUCAGGAGGUUAGUGCAAUGGCAUAAGCCAGCUUGACUGCGAGCGUGACGGCGCGAGCAGGUGCGAAAGCAGGUCAUAGUGAUCCGGUGGUUCUGAAUGGAAGGGCCAUCGCUCAACGGAUAAAAGGUACUCCGGGGAUAACAGGCUGAUACCGCCCAAGAGUUCAUAUCGACGGCGGUGUUUGGCACCUCGAUGUCGGCUCAUCACAUCCUGGGGCUGAAGUAGGUCCCAAGGGUAUGGCUGUUCGCCAUUUAAAGUGGUACGCGAGCUGGGUUUAGAACGUCGUGAGACAGUUCGGUCCCUAUCUGCCGUGGGCGCUGGAGAACUGAGGGGGGCUGCUCCUAGUACGAGAGGACCGGAGUGGACGCAUCACUGGUGUUCGGGUUGUCAUGCCAAUGGCACUGCCCGGUAGCUAAAUGCGGAAGAGAUAAGUGCUGAAAGCAUCUAAGCACGAAACUUGCCCCGAGAUGAGUUCUCCCUGAGACUUAG